AGGAAAGAGGUUGGAGCAGGGUCGACAGAGGAAAAACGGCAGACUUUUCCCAGGAGGAGAGGUAGAUUCAUAAUGGCUGCUGACGUUGAACUGUCUCACAUUUGGCGUCGCUGAGCCAAGACCUUCAGAAUUUCUUGUCGCAUUACAUCACAACAACAAGCCUUUGCCAGAUUCAUGAUCAUUCGCCAUUAGGUCUUGUUUAAAAGCUGACAAAUGUCUUGCACGGACUGGCUGUUUAUCACAAAGCGAUCACAGACGU